AUCAUGGCUCAGGAUGAACGCUAGCUACAGGCUUAACACAUGCAAGUCGAGGGGCAGCAUGUCGGUUGCUUGCAACCGACGAUGGCGACCGGCGCACGGGUGAGUAACGCGUAUCCAACCUACCCUUGUCCAUCGGAUAACCCGUCGAAAGGCGGCCUAACACGAUAUGCGGUUCACAGCAGGCAUCUAACGUGAACGAAAUGUGAAGGAGAAGGAUGGGGAUGCGUCUGAUUAGCUUGUUGGCGGGGUAACGGCCCACCAAGGCUACGAUCAGUAGGGGUUCUGAGAGGAAGGUCCCCCACAUUGGAACUGAGACACGGUCCAAACUCCUACGGGAGGCAGCAGUGAGGAAUAUUGGUCAAUGGGCGAGAGCCUGAACCAGCCAAGUAGCGUGCAGGACGACGGCCCUAUGGGUUGUAAACUGCUUUUAUAUGGGGAUAAAGUGAGUUACGUGUAGCUUAUUGCAGGUACCAUAUGAAUAAGGACCGGCUAAUUCCGUG
rnacentral:rRNA from 1 species